rnacentral:rRNA from 1 species
GUUCCAGCCGCCGCGGUAAGACGAAGGUGGCAAGCGUUGCUCGGAAUCACUGGGCAUAAAGCGCGCGUAGGUGGCUCGAUAAGUCGAUGGUGAAAUCCCAUGGCUCAACCAUGGAACUGCCACCGAAACUGUCGGGCUUGAGGACGGUAGGGGAGAGUGGAACUCCUGGUGUAGCGGUGAAAUGCGUAGAUAUCAGGAGGAACGCCGGUGGCGAAAGCGACUCUCUGGGCCGCUCCUGACACUGAUGUGCGAAAGCUAGGGGAGCAAACAGGAUUAGAAACCCUCGUAGUCC